rnacentral:rRNA from 1 species
UACGAAGGGGGCGAGCGUUGUUCGGAUUUACUGGGCGUAAAGCGUGCGCAGGCGGUUGUGUAAGACAGAUGUGAAAUCCCCGGGCUCAACCUGGGAACUGCAUUUGUGACUGCACAGCUGGAGUGCGGCAGAGGGGGAUGGAAUUCCGCGUGUAGCAGUGAAAUGCGUAGAUAUGCGGAGGAACACCGAUGGCGAAGGCAAUCCCCUGGGCCUGCACUGACGCUCAUGCACGAAAGCGUGGGGAGCAAACAGG